CGCGUAGGUGGUUUUGUAAGUUGGAGGUGAAAUCCCCGGGCUCAACCUGGGAACUGCCUCCAAAACUGCAUGACUAGAGUACGGUAGAGGGUAGUGGAAUUUCCUGUGUAGCGGUGAAAUGCGUAGAUAUUAGGAGGAACACCAGUGGCGAAGGCGGCUUACUGGACGGUAACUGACGUUGAGGCUCGAAAGCGUGGGGAGCAAACA
rnacentral:rRNA from 1 species